UGAAGAGAUGAAUAAGGAAAGUAUGGCAAAACUUCGUUUUAUUAGGAGAGGAGUGACUGCAAUAAAGGCUGGAGUGCAGUGGCACCAUCUCAGCUCACUGCAACCUCUGCCUCCUGGAUUCAAGCGAUUCUCCUGCCUCAGCCUCCCAAGUAGCUGGAAUUACAGGCGCCC